rnacentral:lncRNA from 1 species
GUAAAAAUAUAUUUAUUUUCAUAUACGGAAAGCACGGAAAGCUUAUAAAAGUAAUUUAGUUUUAGCAUAGUCGCGACGGGUGGCUGUGGCUGCGCAAUUUUCGAUUUCUCUUCACCGCCGUUGCUUGAUUCGAACAUCAUGAAUAACGAAAAAAUCGUUCCGUGUGAUCGUAUUUUUUUUAACAAAAUAAAAUAAGUUUAAUCUCCCCCAUGGCUACACCUUGAUGUAAUGGGAAGGCUCGGUAUCAGGAAGAUUUAUUGUGAAAGGGAAGUCGUAUUCAAAAUAUAGCAUUGCCGCGAGUCAAUAAUGAUUCUUGUGUGGCGAGCGCACAUAUGAUGCGUUGUGAAGGGAUAAUGUAUUCAUUAUCCCCAACAUCUUGACCUCAAUGAGAGAAAAUGAGUUUUGUUUUGUGAGUGCCACGAAGAAACUGAGAGGAGGAGGAGGCCCAGGGGGCAUCGGGCAUCUGCGGAGCAACCAAGAGGAUCAACAUAUAUGUACUACAACUCCGCUGCGCAUCCAAUGUGCCAAAAAAAUCGCCGGAUGUGUGAGAAGAUAAUACUUUGCUCCGAUUACAUAUAUACUCAGACAGCACACAUGUCUAAAAUACAUCCAAAGGAUAUCUAGAGGACAUCCUGUUCAAAAACGUUUUCGGGAUAUCCUCUGGACGUCUUUUGAAUAUGCUAUGCUGUUUGGGUAACAAGUGUUAUGUUAAGUGUUUUAUCUCGCGUUUACGAUUCGUAUAUUGGGCGGUAACAAAUUUCCUUCGUUAAUUCAUAAUUUCGAAAGUAUGUAUUUGGCUUUUGUUUUAUAAUGUGUGUAACCAACAAAAGUGCUAGUUUCUGAUGUUCGUCGUUCUUUGAUGGAGCUGUUGCGAAGCAAUCUUAGACGAAAUCUACAGCGGGUGAAACAUACUGCAAUAUUCUAACUGAUGCAGCUGAUAAAGCGCACUUGGUUAGGAUACAACAACCGGU